rnacentral:lncRNA from 1 species
GGCCAGGGUGACCACCAACUAGACUGAGCUGGGGCGAACCCGGGGCCGGGGCACCGGGCAGCAGUCGUUGUUCCAGCCGCCACCGUGACUGGGCUAGGCUCGCCAGCGCCGAGCCCGCCUGGAUCAGACCUUGGGCGUCCGGCGGCGGGUCUGCGGCCGAACGGAGGGAGCAGGCAUCAUCAGUGUGAACUCAAGUCUCCGGCCAUGCAGCUACAGGCCCUGAUCCAAAAGGACCGCCCCAUGCCACAAAGAGAGCCACCCGAGUUUUCAUGGCAUCCGGCUGGCGGCCUCUGACGUGCAUCCUUGACAACAAGAGUUGCUUGUUAAUCUCCCAGGGAGGAUCCCUUUCCUUAUAGGAGGGCCAGGCUGAGUGGGUCAGGGCUGGCCGUGUCCGGACUAUGCCGUCCAAGUCCGCUUGCCUGCGUCACACGGAGGCACCUGGGCAGCUAGAAGGCAGAAUGCUCCAGGGACAGCUUUCGAACCCCGAAAAGAAGCUCAUCCCAACAUCAGCCUCCUUACCAGCUGCUGACUCUCAGAGUUCACAGACAAACUCCAUGCCUCCUUUAAGCA